rnacentral:tRNA from 1 species
GCCUUCGUGGUGCAGUGGUCAGCACGCUGGACGCGUAAAAUCGAGAGGUCCGUGGUUCAAAUCCCGGCGAGGAUA